UACAGAGGGUGCAAGCGUUAAUCGGAAUUAUUGGGCGUAAAGCGCAUGUAGGUGGUUUGUUAAGUUUGAUGUGAAAGCCCUGGGCUUAACCUGGGAAUGGCAUUGGAUACUGGCAGACUAGAGUCGGACAGAGGGCCGUGGAAUUUCCGGUGUAGCGGUGAAAUGCGUAGAGAUCGGAAAGAACAUCGAUGGCGAAGGCAGCGGCCUGGGCCAGACUGACACUGAGGUGCGAAAGCGUGGGGAGCAAACAGG
rnacentral:rRNA from 1 species